AUGUAAACACGUACCCUGCAGUUGUUAAUUAUUACAUUAGCAUUUUUGGGGCCACUUCCUCCUUCGGGCAAGUAGCAGGUCACUCCAUAAGCUGACACCAGAAGGAAGAGGCAGUUACCAAGACUAUAUCUCAAGAAAAGCAGUAGACAAGUUGAGCGACAGCCUGGAGUAGAACUCACCACCCUCUGAUACAGGAGCAGAAUUACUAGCCACAAGACCGACUUGAAGUUCACUUCUUGAACAUUCACGCAGACCAAUUCAAAGUGCUGGAGAUAUUGGGUGUGGACUGACUAAACCGACUGAGAAGCGACCUGUUUUGGGAACAUCCCCUGACCAGAACUUCUGCUUUCCCGCUUGCUUAUUUAAUACCAAGGACACAUGAUGAUCAGCAUGGCCAGAGGAAGGGUGAUGCUUCUGACAGGUGUCAGUCUUCUUGUCAUUUUUCACCUGUGUCAGGCUCAAACCAGUCCUGCCACAGACCCGGCCACCACAGACCCGGCCACCACAGACCCGGCCACCACAGACCCGGCCACCACAGACCCGGCC